UUACUUAGAAUGUGAUCGGCUUGACAGU
rnacentral:piRNA from 1 species